rnacentral:rRNA from 1 species
AGUGAACGCUGGCGGUAGGCCUAACACAUGCAAGUCGAACGGCAGCACAGUAAGAGCUUGCUCUUACGGGUGGCGAGUGGCGGACGGGUGAGGAAUACAUCGGAAUCUACUUUUUCGUGGGGGAUAACGUGGGGAAACUUACGCUAAUACCGCAUACGACCUACGGGUGAAAGCAGGGGAUCUUCGGACCUUGCGCGAUUGAAUGAGCCGAUGUCGGAUUAGCUAGUUGGCGGGGUAAAGGCCCACCAAGGCGACGAUCCGUAGCUGGUCUCAGAGGAUGAUCAGCCACACUGGAACUGAGACACGGUCCAGACUCCUACGGGAGGCAGCAGUGGGGAAUAUUGGACAAUGGGCGCAAGCCUGAUCCAGCCAUACCGCGUGGGUGAAGAAGGCCUUCGGGUUGUAAAGCCCUUUUGUUGGGAAAGAAAAGCAGCAGGUUAAUACCCCGCUGUUCUGACGGUACCCAAAGAAUAAGCACCGGCUAACUUCGUG